GGUUUUGGAAAUAGGAACUUGGAUUUCUGAAGUGCCGUGAACAUACCUGGAUUUUCUCUGUAAAUCGUUUUUACGGAGACAGAGUCGACGAAGAAGAGGCUUGUGACGGAAGAGGAGUAGGAGGAGAUAACGCAUAUUUUAUUCUUGAAAAAUUAAGCGAAUUCCUUUAUCUUUCUAGAUACACACAAAAAGUAAUUAAUCGCAUUAAAAAUCCUUCGGAAAAAUAAAUAUCCCCAAACGUUAAAUUCUAUUUAUUCCUUCCUUACCUUUGUUUCGCAAAAAUCAAACUAAGUAAUUCUUAAAUACACAUACUUCAACAUGUUGCAGUAGAAACAACAAUGGUUUGUAUCCGAACCAUGUUGCUCUCCGAUAGAAUCCAUUUUUGUUCAAAUUCGAUGAUCUUUUGCGUUCUCUUCGGAACUGACACCUUAGAUUGGCAAUUUUUUUUCCACUUCGCUGACGUUAAUUUCGUGUUUACUUGAUAAAUGCUCUAUCGCGUCACUGUUUGCCUUUCGAUCUCUAUACUGUUCACUCUUUAUAUUACAUAAACACCCUUUUAACUGCAGAUCCUUGAUAAACGAUAGAACCUUUUUAUUCGUCCACAUGGUAAACUGUCUCCACAGAUAUUUCGUAAAAUGGUGGACUGUUUGCCUAGAUACUACGUGAAAUUAGUGGACUGUUUGCCUAGAUAUUACGUGAAAUUAGUGGACUGUUUCCGUACAUACUGAGUGCAAAUAGUAGACUCUUUUCGCAUGUAGCCGGUCGCUAUUCCCUUGCCCUGUACUUCCAUCAUAAACAAACCAUUGUUUCAGUGACUGUGUACGGUUUACGAAUUAUACCGCUCCUGUAUCUUAUUCGUGCACGCAUGUUCGCAAAAACUUUACAGCUAAGUCUGCCACACUGAUGGGCGAUGAUUGUCCGCAGACGCGUAUCGCAGCCAAUCAGCGUCUGUCUAUCAAUGGAUUUUCUACGAACAAUAGAUGCCGAUUGGCUGAGACACGUAAUCUGCAGUUAGUUUUUCGUCGAGGUAGACUUAGGUUAAGGUUAAGCGACGAAUCUCGUCUAGGCUUAAGCCUAGUCCUGAUGUACAAACAAUAUUUUAUCCCUAACCCGCAUACAUAGUUCGUGGACAAAAGUAUGUGUACGCGUGUAUGUACAUCGUCCUGGCUGUCAACCUGCAAUGUACGUAGACCGUCUACGGACAAUGUGUGUUAGCCUAAACUGGAUUUUAUGAAUAAUUGUUUGCAGAAUCCUUACAAACUGUUUACAGACUGUAUCGAUUUGUGG